GACGAACGCUGGCGGCGUGCUUAACACAUGCAAGUCGAACGAAGAGGCGAACGGGUGAGUAACUCGUAAUCACCCUGGCCUUCUGAGGGGGAGAACGGUUUGAAACGACUGCUAAUACCGCAUACUGUAGCAGGGGAUUGCGUCUGAUUAGCUGGUUGGAGGGGUAACGGCCCACCAAGGCGAUGAUCAUUAGCCGGUCGGAGAGGAGGAACGGCCACACUGGGACGGAGACACGGCCCAGACUCCUACGGGAGGCAGCAGUGGGGAAUAUUGCACAAUGGGCGAAAGCCUGAUGCAGCCAUGCCGAGUGUAUGAAGAAGGCUUUCGGGUUGUAAAGUACUAUCAGUGGGGAAGCGGUACCCGCCGAAGAAGCACCGGCUAACUCCGUGCCAGCAGCCGCGGUAAUAC
rnacentral:rRNA from 1 species